rnacentral:rRNA from 15 species
AGAGUGGCGGACGGGUGAGUAACGCGUGGGAAUCUACCUAGUAGUGGAGGAUAACUCGGGGAAACUCGAGCUAAUACUGCAUACGCCCUACGGGGGAAAGCGGGGGAUCUUCGGACCUCGUGCUAUUGGAUGAGCCCGCGUUAGAUUAGCUUGUUGGUGAGGUAAUGGCUCACCAAGGCGACGAUCUAUAGCUGGUCUGAGAGG